rnacentral:tRNA from 1 species
GGAUUGUGGCUCAGUGGUAGAGUGCUCACCUAGUAUAUGCGGGGCCCUGGGUUCGAUCCUCAGCACCA